CAGCCGCCGCGGUAAUACGUAGGGUGCAAGCGUUAAUCGGAAUUACUGGGCGUAAAGCGUGCGCAGGCGGUUAUAUAAGUCAGAUGUGAAAUCCCCGGGCUCAACCUGGGAACUGCAUUUGAGACUGUAUGGCUAGAGUGUGUCAGAGGGGGGUAGAAUUCCACGUGUAGCAGUGAAAUGCGUAGAUAUGUGGAGGAAUACCGAUGGCGAAGGCAGCCCCCUGGGAUAACACUGACGCUCAUGCACGAAAGCGUGGGGAGCAAACAGGAUUAGAUACCCCUGUAGUCCCUGUCUCUUAUAC
rnacentral:rRNA from 1 species